AGAGUUUGAUCCUGGCUCAGGACGAACGCUCCUUGCGUGCCUAAUACAUGCAAGUCGAGCGAGCUUGCCUAGAUGAUUUUAGUGCUUGCACUAAAUGAAACUAGAUACAAGCGAGCGGCGGACGGGUGAGUAACACGUGGGUAACCUGCCCAAGAGACUGGGAUAACACCUGGAAACAGAUGCUAAUACCGCAUAACAACAAAAGCCACAUGGCUUUUGUUUGAAAGAUGGCUUUGGCUAUCACUCUGGGAUGGACCUGCGGUGCAUUAGCUAGUUGGUAAGGUAACGGCUUACCAAGGCGAUGAUGCAUAGCCGAGUUGAGAGACUGAUCGGCCACAAUGGAACUGAGACACGGUCCAUACCCCUACGGGAGGCAGCAGUAGGGAAUCUUCCACAAUGGGCGCAAGCCUGAUGGAGCAACACCGCGUGAGUGAAGAAGGGUUUCGGCUCGUAAAGCUCUGUUGUUGGAGAAGAACGUGCGUGAGAGUAACUGUUCACGCAGUGACGGUAUCCAACCAGAAAGUCACGGCUAACUACGUGCCAGCAGCCGCGGUAAUACGUAGGUGGCAAGCGUUAUCCGGAUUUAUUGGGCGUAAAGCGAGCGCAGGCGGUUGCUUAGGUCUGAUGUGAAAGCCUUCGGCUUAACCGAAGAAGUGCAUCGGAAACCGGGCGACUUGAGUGCAGAAGAGGACAGUGGAACUCCAUGUGUAGCGGUGGAAUGCGUAGAUAUAUGGAAGAACACCAGUGGCGAAGGCGGCUGUCUGGUCUGCAACUGGCGCUGAGGCUCGAAAGCAUGGGUAGCGAACAGGAUUAGAUACCCUGGUAGUCCACGCCGUAAACGAUGAGUGCUAGGUGUUGGAGGGUUUCCGCCCUUCAGUGCCGGAGCUAACGCAUUAAGCACUCCGCCUGGGGAGUACGACCGCAAGGUUGAAACUCAAAGGAAUUGACGGGGGCCCGCACAAGCGGUGGAGCAUGUGGUUUAAUUCGAAGCUACGCGAAGAACCUUACCAGGUCUUGACAUCUUGCGCUAACCUUAGAGAUAAGGCGUUCCCUUCGGGGACGCAAUGACAGGUGGUGCAUGGUCGUCGUCAGCUCGUGUCGUGAGAUGUUGGGUUAAGUCCCGCAACGAGCGCAACCCUUGUUACUAGUUGCCAGCAUUAAGUUGGGCACUCUAGUGAGACUGCCGGUGACAAACCGGAGGAAGGUGGGGACGACGUCAGAUCAUCAUGCCCCUUAUGACCUGGGCUACACACGUGCUACAAUGGACGGUACAACGAGUCGCAAGCUCGCGAGAGUAAGCUAAUCUCUUAAAGCCGUUCUCAGUUCGGACUGUAGGCUGCAACUCGCCUACACGAAGUCGGAAUCGCUAGUAAUCGCGGAUCAGCAUGCCGCGGUGAAUACGUUCCCGGGCCUUGUACACACCGCCCGUCA
rnacentral:rRNA from 1 species